UUAAAAUACUUCAAUUAUCUAUUCCAUAAAAAUAUUGAAAAUAGCCUUUCUUUCAUUUUAGGUUAUUCUACGUUUCCAAGUUCAGCGUGGGGUUAUUGUCAUUCCAAAAAGUGUAAGAAAAGAAAGAAUUGUGGAAAACAUUCAGUUAUUCGAUUUUGAAUUAGCUAAAGAAGACAUGGAGGAGAUUGAAAACUUUGACAGAGGUUACAGAUUUUGUCACCUCAACUGGAUGAAACAUCACCCACAUUAUCCUUUCAAAGAUGAAUAAUUGGAGAUUAGUUUUUAUGAAGAGAUAAUACAUCUCAGUGUGACAGACUGUUUAACCAGAUUGAUGAACUGAUUUUUAUGGCAUACCGUCUCUAAUAUGUUUUGUUUUCUGAAUUGAGCACAACCUUUUUGUUGUUGUUGUUGUUGCCAUUUCUUUUACUAUGUUUAUGUAGUAGGUGCUUAAAUUUGUAUAUGUUCAACAUAUAUGCACAGUUUGUGAUUUAGUAAUUAUAAUGAAGUUGAUAUGAGGAGAUAGAUACACUUUCCAAUAUAGCAGAGACACCUUCUGGCAUAUUAUUUUGUUGCAAUAAACUGUUUUAAACCACUGU